rnacentral:rRNA from 1 species
UAGGGAAUCUUCGGCAAUGGGGGGAACCCUUACCGAGCAACGCCGCGUGAGUGAAGAAGGUUUUCGGAUCGUAAAGCUCUGUUGUUAAGGAAGAACGAGUGUGAGAAUGGAAAGUUCAUGCUGUGACGGUACUUAACCAGAAAGGGACGGCUAACUACGUGCCAGCAGCCGCGGUAAUACGUAGGUCCCGAGCGUUGUCCGGAUUUAUUGGGCGUAAAGCGAGCGCAGUCGGUUAGAUAAGUCUGAAGUUAAAGGCAGUGGCUCAACCAUUGUAGGCUUUGGAAACUGUUUAACUUGAGUGCAGAAGGGGAGAGUGGAAUUCCAUGUGUAGCGGUGAAAUGCGUAGAUAUAUGGAGGAACACCGGUGGCGAAAGCGGCUCUCUGGUCUGUAACUGACGCUGAGGCUCGAAAGCGUGGGGAGCGAACAGG